AUAUAUAUAUAUAUAUAUAUAAUUGUUGAUGUGGAUUUUGUGGAUGAUACGUUGCAUUGGAAAGCAAGGCUGGCUGAGAUGCAUGUGUUGAAGCUUCCAAUUAAGUGAAUGUGUUAUUCAUUACGCAGAGCGUGAGUUGCACGCGCAAACAUCCCUAUACGGUUUGCAUGCCUCAACAAAGCGUAGUGUAGGUGGACCACACCAUUCAUGGAGUUUCUCUAUACUAUCUGCAGCACUCACACAUGCCAUUGGACACGUAACUAAUGCUUCUUGCACUCUUGACAAUGAAACCCAUUAGAAGGAUCAUUAGCAUUGUAACAUGAAGCGAAAAAGAGAGGAAAAUCGAGGUGUCGUUUCACUUUCAGAGAGAAAAUCAAUGGAUAUUGUCAACCACUAGAUUGUUGUCUUUUUUGGUUGUCGUCGUCAACAAAGGGUGUGUGCGGGGAUGUUGAAGCAAUUGGAUUAUCCCAAAGAAGUUGUGUUAUGGUAUCAUUGUGGUGGGGAUUGAGUACCUGAAUGUUGAUUUAAAAGAAUUUCUUGAUGAUAAAUUAAGGUGCUCUAGAGAUGUUGUAAAUUCCAAUUAGCUAGGAAGUGAAUCGUUCACCUUUAUGUUGAACAUCUUGUGGCAGAGGUUAAGGUUCUUUUUUUUUUGCUAUUUAAUAUUUAAUUAUGAUCAAUAUAUUAACUUCACAUAUAGAAAUGUUGAUGGAAUAGUGUCAUAGAGUGUUACCUAUUUAUGAUGAUGUAGAAAUAUGAUAGAAUAUUUGGGUUGAAUUACGUUGUAUA